rnacentral:rRNA from 1 species
AUUGAACGCUGGCGGCAUGCCUUACACAUGCAAGUCGAACGGUAACAGGUCUUCGGAUGCUGACGAGUGGCGAACGGGUGAGUAAUACAUCGGAACGUGCCUAGUAGUGGGGGAUAACUACUCGAAAGAGUGGCUAAUACCGCAUGAGAUCUACGGAUGAAAGCAGGGGAUCGCAAGACCUUGUGCUACUAGAGCGGCCGAUGGCAGAUUAGGUAGUUGGUUGGAUAAAAGCUUACUAAGCCGACGAUCUGUAGCUGGUCUGAGAGGACGAUCGGCCACACGGGGACUGAGAAACGGCCCAGACUCCUACGGGAGGCAGCAGUGGGGAAUUUUGGACAAUGGGCGAAAGCCUAAUCCAGCAAUGCCGCGUGCAGGAUGAAGGCUUUCGGGUUGUAAACUGCUUUUGUACGGAACGAAAAGCCCCGGGUUAAUACCCUGGGGUCAUGACGGUACCGUAAGAAUAAGCACCGGCUAACUACGUGCCAGCAGCCGCCGUAA